rnacentral:siRNA from 1 species
ACUCACUUGGUCCGGUUAUAG